rnacentral:rRNA from 1 species
UACGUAGGGUGCAAGCGUUGUCCGGAAUUAUUGGGCGUAAAGAGCUCGUAGGCGGUUUGUCGCGUCUGCUGUGAAAAUCCGAGGCUCAACCUCGGGCCUGCAGUGGGUACGGGCAGACUAGAGUGCGGUAGGGGAGAUUGGAAUUCCUGGUGUAGCGGUGGAAUGCGCAGAUAUCAGGAGGAACACCGAUGGCGAAGGCAGAUCUCUGGGCCGUAACUGACGCUGAGGAGCGAAAGCAUGGGGAGCGAACAGG